rnacentral:rRNA from 1 species
GGAAUAUUGGACAAUGGGGGCAACCCUGAUCCAGCAAUGCCGCGUGGGUGAAGAAGGCCUGCGGGUUGUAAAGCCCUUUUGGUGGGGAGGAAAGCCCUGGUUUGAAUAGAGCCAGGGGGUGACGCUACCCACAGAAGAAGCACCGGCUAACUCCGUGCCAGCCGCCGCGGUAAUACGGAGGGUGCGAGCGUUAAUCGGAAUUACUGGGCGUAAAGGGUGCGUAGGCGGUGAGUUCAGUCAGAUGUGAAAGCCCUGGGCUCAACCUGGGAAUGGCAUUUGAUACUGGCUGACUGGAGUGUGACAGAGGAUGGCGGAAUUCCGGGUGUAGCGGUGAAAUGCGUAGAGAUCCGGAGGAACACCGAUGGCGAAGGCAGCCAUCUGGGUUAACACUGACGCUGAGGCACGAAAGCGUGGGGAGCAAAC